GGUGGCAAGUGAUGAUUUUCUUGAAUCUUAUCCUACACACUGAUGCGCAGUGCUGACUAUAUUACUCUGCUUAUUGUCUGAUGCCUCG
rfam:Eucalyptus grandis cultivar BRASTZ1 unplaced genomic scaffold scaffold_6, whole genome shotgun sequence.